rnacentral:rRNA from 1 species
CCUACGGGAGGCAGCAGUAGGGAAUCUUCCACAAUGGGCGCAAGCCUGAUGGAGCAACACCGCGUGAGUGAAGAAGGGUUUCGGCUCGUAAAGCUCUGUUGUUGGAGAAGAACAUGCGUGAGAGUAACUGUUCACGCAGUGACGGUAUCCAACCAGAAAGUCACGGCUAACUACGUGCCAGCAGCCGCGGUAAUACGGAGGGUGCAAGCGUUGUCCGGAAUCAUUGGGCGUAAAGAGUUCGUAGGCGGCAUGUAAAGUCAGGUGUUAAAGGCGCAGGCUCAACCUGUGUAUGGCACUUGAUACUUGCAAGCUGGAAUGCGGUAGAGGUAAAGGGAAUUCCUGGUGUAGCGGUGAAAUGCUUAGAUAUCAGGAGGAACAUCGGUGGCGUAAGCGCUUUACUGGGCCGUAAUUGACGCUGAGGAACGAAAGCCAGGGUAGCAAAUGGGAUUAGAUACCCCAGUAGUC